CUGGCUCAGAAUGAACGCUGGCGGCGUGCCUAACACAUGCAAGUCGAGCGAGAAAGGGGGCUUCGGUCCCUGAGUAGAGCGGCGCACGGGUGAGUAACGCGUGGAUAAUCUACCCAUGGAUUCGGGAUAACAGUGGGAAACCGCUGCUAAUACCGGAUAAGCUUACGCAUUUUGGAGAUGUGUGAGAAAAGGCGGCCUCUGUUUCAAGCUGCCGUCAAUGGAUGAGUCCGCGUCCCAUUAGCUUGUUGGUGGGGUAAAGGC
rnacentral:rRNA from 1 species